rnacentral:rRNA from 1 species
UGCGUAGGGCGCAAGCGUUGUCCGGAAUUAUUGGGCGUAAAGAGCUCGUAGGCGGCUUGUCACGUCGGAUGUGAAAGCCCGGGGCUUAACCCCGGGUCUGCAUUCGAUACGGGCAGGCUAGAGUGUGGUAGGGGAGAUCGGAAUUCCUGGUGUAGCGGUGAAAUGCGCAGAUAUCAGGAGGAACACCGGUGGCGAAGGCGGAUCUCUGGGCCAUUACUGACGCUGAGGAGCGAAAGCGUGGGAGCGAACAGG